rnacentral:rRNA from 1 species
CCUACGGGAGGCAGCAGUGAGGAAUAUUGGUCAAUGGGCGCAAGCCUGAACCAGCCAUGCCGCGUGCAGGAAGAAGGCCCUAUGGGUUGUAAACUGCUUUUAUUUGGGAAUAAACCCCUUUACGUGUAGAGGGCUGAAGGUACCAAAUGAAUAAGCACCGGCUAACUCCGUGCCAGCAGCCGCGGUAA